CCAGCCUUAAAAAAAAAAAAAAAAAAAAAUCAAAGCCAUAAUUAAGAAAUUUCAAACAUGUCUACUUCAGAGUGCAAAUAUUUUUAUCCUCUGAUAUGCCGUUUUGGGGCUGAGGAGAUGGCUUAGUGGAUAAAGCACUUGCCUCCUAACCUGAAGUUGGGGUCCCCGGCAGUAGAUGUUAGGCCCACAGUGUGCUUUGUCUGUAAUCCCAGGACUGGAUUCUGGCAGGGUAGAGAGGGGGCCAUCAAUGUGGCCACCUAGCCGCGCUGAGUGAGAGAGCUCUGGCUCCUUCUGAGCAUACACUGCUUCAGGAGUUAAGGUAGAAAAUGACUGCGGAAGAUACCCAACAUAAGCCCCGGAGCUCCGAGUGUGUACGCCUCCAUACUCACACGCAUGGGCAUGUACAUACACAGGCAUGUUCGCCAAACACAUGAAGAAAUAAAAACACUGAUUUUUUCGAAACUAAUAUUGUUAUCAUUUGGAUUGUAAGCUAUAUUGAGUUUUGAAAUGAGCCAUUGUAGAAAUGAUUUAAAUAAGUUAGGCUGUCGUACAUACUGUCACUCUGUGUCACUGAGUGUGUGAUUUGGCAUACCUUUCACAAGAAUUUACUAUUGUCAAAUUGAUGGUAAUAAGGAAUGUGAGUCUGGUUAGUUCAAAAAUGGAAAGUUUAUUAUUUUAAAGUGGUUGUUUAAAAGGUUUUGCUUUGUAUCCCAGGCUGGACUCAAACUGAGGGUCCUCCUUCCUCAGCCUCGUGAGUGCUGGGAGGAUGGGUGUGUGGCUCAGAACAGAUCUCUAAAAUUUGCCUUUUUGACUAUGAUAAGUAAAUUGGGUGUUUUGGAGCAUUGCUGCUUUAGUGUACUUUGUCUGGGAGAGUGACUUCCUUUUGCAUCUGACAUUGAUUUGGUAACUGCAUCCUCUCAGAAGGCCUGGAGGGUGGAAGCCUAAACGAGGUCCAGAAGAUACCAAUCUGUAACACCCUGCUGGCCAAGGACUCUGAAAACGUGCCACUGUGAGGAGACCGACCGUCCAUCAUGUUUGUUGUUUAAAAUAUCACUUUAUUGAAAACUGAGUGUUCUUCCAGCAGUGCACACUUGUGAGUCAGGAGACUUAAGGAGAAAACUAGUCAUGCAAUCGGGAGCAUUACAGACUUCCUCUUAAGUUGCUCUUCUAAGUUGGCAGGUGUUUCCUGUUGGUAAAUAUCCUCCAGAGAGUUCUAUUUAAAAUUGAGCUAUUAAUAAAAGUGGGUGCCCCUGUCAUUGAUGCCUCCUGUGUGUCAUGGGGAAACAGAAACAGGUCAGUGACAUUCUAGAUAGAAUGCAACGAGUGGAGUCAAUGUAAGCAGUAUCUGGAGUCACUGGCAAAAGGAAGGAAUGUGGUGCAGAAGUCUCAGUUUAACAUGCUAAUGUAGCCUGAUUUCGAAGAGUGUCAUAUUGGCACUUGGGGGAAUGCCCCCUUUUCUUUCUCAUUAACUGGUAGUAUCCCUGGUGAGUUGCUGAUGUCUUUUCCAGUCUAUCUAAUGAGGAUUCCAACCCAGCUUCUUAGUGAUUGUGGCAUACUAGAGGUGAGGAUACGCAUACACACUCACAGCAUUUGCCUAGUGACUAUGUUAAGUGUUUUUUUAUAUGCCAUCUACUUGAAAAUACAGAAAUAUUUAUUUUCCUCCACCUUGUUUUAAUGGUGUAAGGGCUAAUCACAGUUUACAGAACGAUGCAGUGACGUGGAUGAAAGACUUAAAACCUACAGGCUUAUGUUUUUGGAAAGGCCUUUACAGUUGUAUGCCCUUUUACUCCAAAGCUGUUUAGAACUAAUAAUAACACCUUGUAGCUGCUGUAGACUCAGGAAGAAUUCAUUUCAGCCUUUGAGAAACCUGGGACACUUAGAACUAAUUCUUCCUUUCAAAAAUAGGGGAGUGGGGGGUGGGGUGGGGGAGCCAAGUAGCUCUCUGGCUUCCCUUACAUGGGAAGCAGAAUAGUAGCCAGGCAGUUCAUCUGUGACAGUGGUCAGCCCUCAGUUGUUACACAGUAUGUCCCAUACAAUGGGUUUUCUGUUUCUUUGUCUUUUAACUUUAUAUCUAUUUUUAUAGCUUAUUUCAAUUCCCAUUCUGCAAAACGAAAUUCACAUUGCUAUUGUCUGUUACACCAUUUGCCACAGUUCAGAGAGACUGAACAUUUAAGUUGAUUUCCCUUUGUGGGACAGGAGGGCUGGGGGAGGGGAUGGAAGCUCACUAUCAUGUGUUUGUUUAUUUUUGGGACAGUUGACUCACUGUGCUGUUCAACUGUCUUAGUCUUUUGGUCUCAAAGCAGUCCAGCCUUAGCAUCCUGAGGAGGACUUCAGGCAUUAAAAAGACCAGGCUGCCUCAAACUCACUCGAAUCUACCUGCCUAUGACUCUGAAGUGCUGGGAUUAAAAGUGUUAGCCACCGUGCCUGUCUGAAUAAGUUAACUUUUAAUAGGCAAAGUUACUUGUUUCAGAAAUUAACAGUUCACAGGAGAUUGUCUUGGUCCCACUCACAUAAAAGUCACUCCUGCCUGGCAGCACACCAGUUUAUUUUCUUCUUCAUGUCAUUAUUAGCAGGGCCUACUACUACAAGUUUUUGUUUGUUGGGUUUUUGUUUUGUUUUUGUAAGUGUAUGAGAGAGUUUGUGGUAAGUAUUGUUCAUGUCUUAAAAUGGGGAAUAUUUUGCAGCAGGGGAAACAGUGCAGGAACUAACUUAACAAGGUUACAGUUACAAGGCAGGAUUCUGACUAGAUUCUCAGCUGUGUCUUUGGAGCUGCACGGUAAAGCUGUACCUAAAACGGAAGUGACUUUUUCAUGCUAGUCCUGAGGUACUCUUGUGAGAAUGUAUAUGUAUUUGGAAAAACCUAUCACAAACCUUCCCAUAAUAUCUCAUUUGGAGCGGAGGCAGGAGGAUUACAGGUUGGAGACAAACUGGGGCUACAUAGUGAGAUCCUGUCUUAGAAUUUGUUUUUAUAUUUAAGGCUGAAUAUUCUGAUUAGAUAGAGUUGUCUCAAUUUCAUCAGCUACAUUCAAUCUGAGAAAUCCUAGUCUAAAGGGACAGUCACAGAUACUUCAUCUUUAGUUUUUUUUUUUUAAUGAAGAUAAAAUAGGAAUACAUGCUAGCGUUCUGAAAACCUGUUCUAUUGGCACUUAUUGUCAGUUGUGCCAUGAAAAGCAUUUUUCAUAAACUAGCUGGUUUUCUAUGGUUAUUAGACUCGUCUUUUAAAAUUAGGGCUUUUCUGUAAUGUGAGAACAGUUGCUGUCAUCAGUGGCUGACAGCUGACCAGAGUGCAAGCUACAUUUCAGCUAAAAUUUGCACAGAAGUAGCUUAUGGAGGAAACAAAGCAUAGCUUUAAUGUCCAUUUUCAGUUUGUGUUAGCUUCAGGGAGGCAGAAACUAGUAGUUCCGUGUCAAGGACUGGAAUCAGUUGGUCUUAUACAAGUUUAUCCAGUCCAGUAACUUCUUCCCCCUCCCCCCUUUUUUUUUGUAUACUGCUCAGGCCUUUGUAUCUCACAAAAUAAGCUCUCCCAACCCAAAGAACUUAAAUUGUUGCUGGCUGCUCUGUUGUACCCUAUCACAUUGCAGGGACAAUUCUGACCCCAAAAUGGAAGGAGAAUGGUCCAGGAUUUACCUAAGUCCUCCCUGUCAUUGCCUUCAGGUUGGUGACAGGCAUUACUGAUUUCGUUACUUCCCCUAUUUUUUUUUUUUUUUUUUACUUUUUUAUUUUUAUGUUUUGCAAGUUUGAUAGACACAGGGUAUAAUCUUAGGAAAGGCAAAACUUUUACAGGCGCUCCAAGUGUUGAAAGCCACAGCCCUUAAAAAACGAAAUCAGUAACCUUAAUUAUAGGAAUUAGCACUUGGAUGGGAUUAAACCCCCAAUCUGCCCUACAUUUCCAAGGUCGCCUCUGCCUAGCACUGCGAUGAGAUGAUAGGACUGUCAGGAAAAGAUGUUUAAAUGGUUCUGAUGAAAAUGAUCUGGUGUUAGUUCCCCCUCCCGCCUUGUUGGGAUUGGAUGUGAUCUUGGAGUAUUUUAGAAGUAUUAUGAAUUUUUUUUUUCCAAGUUAAGGCGUUCCAAUAACAAAACAAAAAAUCUGGACAUUUCGUGCGGUCUGGACCAGGGAGUCCCACUCCCACCAAGUUAAAAACCUUUCCUAGAUAUUCGUAAGUACUUCCUUUGCCUAAAGGCCCUGGCCCUUACCUUUCUCACACCUACUACUCCAUACCUGGACGGGCUUUCUCCCAUCCAUCUUCUGUUCAGGGACACCAUUUACCCGGGCUAGGGCGGGUCAGAGGCCAUGUCUGUGUCCGGCUCCCGGAGCUCCCGUGCCGCGCUCCUAUUGGCUGGAAGUUCUUUCCCCAAAAGCCAGAGCGACCUAGGCUCGCCACGCCAGCUAGACCAGACUCGGAACCGCCCAGGGGGCGUGGCCCAGUGGCAGGGCGGGGCCUUGCAGUCCGGGCGGCCUAUAGAGCCGGAGGGAGUCCCCGGCCGCGCCCCUCGAGGCCGGGCCGGUGGAGGCCAAUCCCCGGCGGCCGGCGGGCGAACGCGGGGCCAGGCGGGCCGGUCCCGUCCGCGGGGCGGGGGACAAUGGACCAGUUCCUGGUGCGUCACGAGGGAGUUCCUUAAAGGGGAAGUGAGCGGGCUCCCGGCGGACGCGCGGGGAGGCGGUCGGCUGGGGACGCGCCCGGCGCUUCAAAAUAAUGCCCGCGGCGGACGCGCGACCAUGCAAUGGCGAGCGCUUGUCCUGGGGCUGGUGCUGCUGCGCCUCGGCCUCCACGCGGUGCUCUGGUUGGUCUUCGGGCUGGGGCCCAGCAUGGGCUUCUACCAGCGGUUUCCGCUCAGCUUCGGCUUCCAGCGCUUGAGGGACCCCGACGGCUCGGGGCCAGUUGGUCCGCCCGGAGGCCCGGCCUGGCUUCAUCGGCCAAGGCGCGGAACGGAGGGGCGGCUUGAGACCCCGCCAGAGCCGGGACCGACGCCGGGACCGGGCGUGUGCGGCCCGGCGCACUGGGGCUAUGCCCUGGGCGGCGGUGGCUGCGGCCCGGACGAGUACGAGCGGCGCUACAGCGGCGCCUUCCCGCCGCAGCUGCGUGCCCAGAUGCGCGACCUGGCGCGGGGCAUGUUCGUCUUCGGCUAUGACAACUACAUGGCGCACGCCUUUCCGCAGGACGAGCUCAACCCCAUCUACUGCCGCGGCCGGGGGCCUGACCGCGGAGACCCUUCCAAUCUGAACAUCAAUGAUGUCCUAGGGAAUUACUCUCUGACUCUGGUUGAUGCCUUGGAUACAUUGGCAAUAAUGGGAAAUUCAUCCGAGUUCCAGAAGGCAGUCAAGUUAGUGAUCAACACUGUUUCAUUUGACAAAGAUUCCACAGUCCAGGUCUUCGAAGCUACGAUAAGGGUUCUGGGAAGCCUCCUUUCUGCUCACAGAAUAAUAACUGAUUCCAAACAGCCCUUUGGUGACAUGACAAUUGAGGAUUAUGAUAAUGAAUUGUUGUACAUGGCCCAUGACUUGGCUGUGCGGCUCCUUCCAGCCUUUGAAAACACCAAGACAGGGAUCCCCUAUCCUCGGGUGAAUCUGAAGACAGGUGUUCCUCCUGACAGCAAUAAUGAGACCUGCACAGCGGGGGCCGGUUCUCUCCUGGUGGAAUUUGGGAUUCUGAGCCGACUGCUGGGGGAUUCCACUUUUGAGUGGGUUGCCAGACGAGCUGUGAAAGCCCUCUGGAACUUGCGGAGCAACGAUACAGGAUUAUUAGGCAAUGUUGUGAACAUCCAGACAGGCCAUUGGGUUGGAAAGCAGAGUGGCUUGGGUGCUGGGCUGGAUUCCUUCUAUGAGUACCUCUUGAAAUCUUACAUUCUUUUUGGAGAAAAAGAAGAUCUAGAGAUGUUUAAUGCUGCGUAUCAGAGCAUCCAGAGCUACCUGCGAAGAGGCCGGGAAGCCUGCAAUGAAGGAGAAGGAGACCCACCGCUCUACGUCAACGUGAACAUGUUCAGUGGGCAGCUCAUGAACACCUGGAUUGACUCGCUGCAGGCUUUCUUCCCUGGACUGCAGGUUCUGAUAGGGGAUGUGGAAGAUGCCAUCUGCCUACACGCCUUCUACUAUGCCAUAUGGAAGCGGUACGGGGCCCUCCCUGAGCGCUAUAACUGGCAACUCCAGGCCCCUGAUGUUCUCUUCUACCCUCUGAGACCAGAGCUAGUGGAGUCCACAUAUCUCCUCUACCAGGCAACCAAGAAUCCCUUCUACCUCCAUGUAGGAAUGGACAUUCUGCAGAGUCUUGAAAAAUACACAAAAGUCAAGUCAGUUUGCUAUGUUCCUUAUUUUAUUGUUUGGAUGUUUGUGAUUGACUGAGAGUUAUUCUGUAGAAAUGUUAGUUUUAAAACUUUAAAUUAAAAAUUAUGUAUUUUAUGUAUAUGAAUGUUUUAUCUGCAUGUAUGUUUGUGCACCAUGUAUGUACCUGGUGUUCUUGGAGACCAGAAGAGGGCAUCGGAUCCCCUGAGACUGGAUUAUAGAUGCUUAUGUGGAUAUGCUACGCUGCAUCACGUCAUAGACAAGUCUAAAGAAGACCGGAUGGAAAGCUUCUUUCUCAGCGAGACUUGCAAAUACUUGUAUCUGCUAUUUGAUGAAGAGAAUCCAGUACACAAAUCUGGAACCAGAUACAUGUUUACAACUGAGGGCCAUAUCAUAUCUGUGGACAAACGUCUUCGGGAAUUGCCUUGGAAGGAAUUCUUCUCUGAAGAUGGGGAGCGGGACCAAGAGGAAAAGUUUGUACACAGACCUAAGUCUCAGGAGCUCAGAGUCAUUAACUCCAGUUCUAAUUGUAAUCGUGUUCCUGAUGAGAGGAGAUACUCCUUGCCCUUAAAGAGCAUCUACAUGCGCCAGAUCGACCAGAUGGUUGGCUUGAUUUGACCUGCUCACCUCAAUGUGGCCAGAACUUAAACCAAACCCAAGUGUACCAAAAUCUCCUCUGAGGUGGAAGCGGUGGAGCCUGCCCAUCUGUGAUGCUGUCGAAGUUUCUGUCCAGCUCUUACUCACCUCUGGUUGAAUCUUGCACUUAGUGCUUUUUAGUGUUUCCCUUCUGUUUAAUAAAAUACUCUAUUUUUUCUGAAGGAUAAAACUAGAAAUGGGAAGCUUCGUGGAGAGCUUCUUGCGCUAUGCUGAUGUUGUUAAGCACAAUGGAUAUUAGCCUCUUUGGAUUCUUCUUCCAGCUUCACACAUAGCACCCAGUCUCCUUGCUUUGCCCCCGUUGCUGUGCUGAAGUCUUGCUACCUCUUUGCUAGAGGAUCAGGAAUGCAAUUCCUGUGCAAAGGUCCUGAAGUUCACUUGGCAUCACUACUGAAAUCAAAGCGCCAUCCCUUUUCUCUCUGAUGGGAUCAUUAGGCUGUCCCCACGAUAGCCAGCUGUCAGCGUGGAUCACGUGGGGGAAAUUCACCUGGUUUAUUUGCAUCCUAAAGUAAUUUAUUCACUGUUACUUGUUUUAGUGUAAUGUCUAGCCAGAAAUCUGACAGGCAACCUUUAAAGCUAAGUUGAAAUCUAGGAGAUUAACUAACAGAUCUUUUAUACUGUACUUAGCAUAUAUUUUGAGCAUCACCUUACCUGAAGAACUCCCAUGGUUCCAGAACCAGGUGCCUUCUAGGGAGAGGAAAGCCCUAGGAUUGUGAGCUUCCACCCUCCUGCUUCAUAACCAAGGAUGCACAGUGCCCACUGUCACUGGGUUAGACUUCUGGUGGGUUUUGUUUUUUGUUUUUUUUGUUUUUUCUUGUUUUUGUUUUUGGCUUAUGUGUAGUGCCAAUUAGCUAAUCAGGGACAAAGAAGUGAUCAGAUGACUUUCUGACAUCCUUGAGCCAUUUCUCUGUGUGAUAUGGACUUUAGAUUAGUGCCUUAUGGGUUUUGUUUGGGCCAUGGGCUGUCACAACCACUGCUACAGACAGCUCGUUUUAUAUUGCCAUAUGAUGGGACCAAUAAGGAACAGGGUGUAUGUGAGGAAGAUUCUGGAAAACUAGUUUGUCAGUCUUUGCCUUUUAACUUAUGAUUUUAGCCAGGCAUAAAGGAGGAAAUUAUGAGAAAUUGCUUUUGUUGUUCUGUAGGUGAAAUGGGAAGCUCUGCACAUGGGAAGUUUGCACAAACUGUUCCUAAAAGGCAGAGCUGGGCCUGCCCUGGCUUGGCCUCCUUGCACUGGGACAGGCCAAAUACCAAAGGCAAAGGGUAGAAGUUUAUGAGAAAGCUGGUUCAACCUCACAUAUCUUAUGUCUUCCCUCUACACUGUUAAUAGACACUUGAGAGUAUUUCAUUCCAUUCUCCUAUAGCCAGGGAAAAGCCUCAUCUGAAUCGUUGCAUUUUUAGUCAAAAGGGAGAAAUUAUAAUCUUCAAUAUGUAGUACUGUCUGGAAAAUAAAUAUAAUUCAGUUCCUUGGCAUGUUUAGAAAGGGGGUUUCAGUAGUAACUAUCAUCUUUUAAAUACUUACUAUGCAAUUGGUCUUAUUUAUUUGUUAAGAAUAUUGAAUGUUUCUGGUUUUCUUUCUUUUGAUUUCACAAGCAUUGUUCUAUGUAUCCACAGUGUCUCGUCUACUGUAUAGAAAACUUUCUUUAAGCAGAUUAUCUGUUUUACAUAUUUUCGUUAACUCCGUAAAAGUAUUAACCACAUGCAUGCACAGGCCUGUGUGUGUACCCCCUUUUACCUUUGUUCCAGGCACGUUCACGUGCAACUGUGAAUGACCCACUAGGGACAGUAAAGACCUAUCAGGAAAGAAAGCAUGCCCCUCAGGCUUCUCUUUACCAUCUUCCCCAUCUCUCCCUCUCUCUCUCUCUCUCUCUGGUUUUGGUUUUGGUUUUGUUUUGUUUUGUUUUUUUUUGGCAACAGCGGUGUAUGUUGGCACCCAGCAGUUCUCUCUCAUCUGGGUUCUCAUCUGUUGCUCUUGAUUAAGCUUGGGUUGCUUCUUGCUCCUGUGCUCUUGGAAUGGUGAUCUGUGUCUGGAAGUACCAUGGUGCCUUGAGUGCUACCAGUGGGUCUCAGGGGUACAGGCAGACAUGCAAUGUAUUUUAUUAAGUCUUAAACCCUCUUGACUUUUGGGUACCAGAUUUUUCAGCUGUUGACAAGGCUGAGGGUAAAUAAGAUAAUGCCUGUAAAUCUUACCAUUGAGUUUCUAGACUGCUGAGACCAAAGCCAGUGAUUUGUGGGGCUAGAUGAAGAACACUGUCUACUGCCAGACAUAUAAAGAACAUUAUUAGAGACAAGUUCGAAGCUGUCUUGCUUUCUGAAUGUCAGCAACUGCAAUGUAUAUCUUACAAUAUAUUUGCUGUUCCUUCCAACCUGUGUGCUGAAAUAUGGGUAGAAAAUUUCUAACUCACUGCUUUGGUCCAGGAAUGUGAACAGAAGAAUUUCAUGGAUGUUUGUAACCAUGCUUGUGUUCCCAGGAGUAGCCAGUAGUGUCCAGUUUGGCCAACAUGUGAAAAGUUGCAAACUACGUAGCAGGCUGUCUUAUGGUUAGGUAUGGUGGAGUCCCAUUCUACAACCAACAGGCUUGCCUUAGCUGCUCUAAAUACUGUGACAGGGUAACUCCAUUCUCCUGGAAGAGGAGGUGACCAAGGAAUGUUUGGUGGCUUUCGGAUUGCUUUGGUAGCUGUGGAAACCAGGCUUGUUUCCCAGAGCCUCCCUUGAGUUUCUUCCUGCUCUUCUACUGGAGCGUACUUUUUGUAAUUGGAUUUCUAGUUCUGAUGUCUGGACUUUCCUUGUCUUGGAUUGUAGACUCUGCACAUGACAUUCAAAUACUUUUCUGUGUGUUGAAGUGAAAGCAUGUGAGGGUAGUGCCUGCCCAGAGGAGUAUCUGAGAGCCCAUGUUUUACUGGUUUCAAUAAAUGCAGUCGUCUCUAUCCUGUCUUCCCUUCUCUCUCAAGGAAAAUAUCCCUCUUAGCAUCUCCCCACCAGCUCAGUGAAUGAGUGUCCACUGCAGUUCUUCACUUUGGAUCCUGUAGACUCUGCACUGGACAUCCCUUUUCUUCUGAGCUCUGAGAUCUUGUUCUCUUGAUGUGGACAAACAUAGUGCUGGUCAGAGGGUAGGGCUGGGCCACCUCAGGCGCACGCGCAGAGUGGCCGAGCAGGGACUUGGGAAGAAGGUGCUGAUCUUUGCCUUUCUGUUCCUGGCUGUCCAGCACCUGCUCUAGUGCCUCUUCCCUGCAAGGCAGGGACCCCGUGUGAAUCAGAGCCGGUGAUGCGUGUGGGCCUUGUGGCCGCUACUCAGCGGGGCUCAGGGUUAAGGUCCCUCUUGAGUUUGGAUGUGAAUAUCCUAAAGCUAUCAAGUACCUGUGAAACUCUGCUUCACUGCUCUUCUCCUUCUGAGAGGUAAACAAAUCAUAUUUUUAAGGGUAUUUUGUUUUAGUGUUAAAUAGCAUCCCACGAGCUGCAUUUUUAUUUAUUACAUACACAAAAAGUAAAUGUGUUUCUAUAAAAUACAAAGUCUAGAGUUGGAAACUCUGGGAAAACUUGCUGAGAUGCACAAAUGUUUCUCUCUGUGAUGUGCAAUAUGCUUGGCCGCCAUAGAUGGUACUUCAUGUUUAAUCUGUAAAUAAGAACUGUAUUUAAAUUAAAUGGGAAAUUUUUGUAAAAGGACCAAAUGUUCUUUUAUAAGCAUACUAAGGAAUAUCUUGUUCUUUGAAAUUUAUUAGGAUUUUUAUGAAUAAUUUUUAUUAAAAGAUUCUCUUUUUGAGUUGUCA